GGGGAAUUUUCCGCAAUGGGCGAAAGCCUGACGGAGCAAGACCGCGUGGGGGAAGAAGGCUCUUGGGUUGUAAACCCCUUUUCUCUGGGAAGAAAGUUGUGAAAGCAACCUGACGGUACCAGAGGAAUCAGCAUCGGCUAACUCCGUGCCAGCAGCCGCGGUAAGACGGAGGAUGCAAGCGUUAUCCGGAAUGAUUGGGCGUAAAGCGUCCGCAGGUGGCAGUUCAAGUCUGCAGUCAAAGACCGGGGCUUAACCUCGGAAAGGCAGUGGAAACUGAACAGCUAGAGUAUGGUAGGGGCAAAGGGAAUUCCUGGUGUAGCGGUGAAAUGCGUAGAGAUCAGGAAGAACAUCGGUGGCGAAGGCGCUUUGCUGGACCAUAACUGACACUCAGGGACGAAAGCUAGGGGAGCGAAUGGGAUUAGAUACCCCAGUAGUCCUAGCCGUAAACGAUGGAUACUAGGUGUUGUCUGUAUCGACCCGGACAGUGCCGUAGCUAACGC
rnacentral:rRNA from 1 species